rnacentral:rRNA from 1 species
UACAGAGGGUGCGAACGUUGUUCGGAAUUACUGGGCAUAAAGAGCACGUAGGCGGCACCGCAAGUGUGGGGUGAAAUCCCACGGCUUACCCGUGGAACUGCCUGGCAGACUGCGGUGCUAGAGGUUGGUAGGGGAGAGCGGAACUCUUGGUGGAGCGGUGAAAUGCGCAGAUAUCAGGAAGAACACCCGUGGCGAAGGCGGUUCUCUGGGACGGUACUGACGCUGAGACGCGAAAGCGUGGGGAGCGAACAGG